GGGCUGGGCCGCCGCGGCUCGCCCUGCCGCAUCCAGCCCUUUAAACAUGGCGCAGGCCGCGGCGGCCGGGCGAUGACCGCGGGCGGCAGCGCCGGACAUGGCUCAGGCGCCGAUCUUCCCCCGUUGCUCCUAGGGAAGAACAUGCCCAAGACCAGGGCGGGCGGCGUGGAGAAGGCAAGUCCCGAGAGCGCCGAGAGGAAGGGCCCUGGCCGCCCCCGGGCCGGCGGGGAGAAUGUGUUUAUUGGUCAAUCCAAAAUCUACAGCUACCUGAAUCCCAACAAAGCUCCUGGUGCUCGCCCCCCACUUCAAGAAGAAAACUCUGUCAUGUAUCACGAGGUGAAAUGUCAGGGCAAAACACUAAAGGAAACCUACAGGAAAGGAGCUGGAAAAAAGAAUGGUGGCAAAAUAGUUGAAGGUGCUGUGAAACCAGAAGACCAGAAGGAUAAGGAAGGUGGGUGCAAUCCUUCAGUGCCCUCUUUUGAUCAAAAUCAAGAAGCUGUGGAAACCCAGAAGACUCCCCUGCCUGCAGACUGUGCUGAGGAGGCCAAUGCAAAGCCAGCUCAGAAGAAGAUGGUUAAAGCAAAACGAGGACCAAGGAAAAAAACACAAGGGAGAGCACCAAACCGAAAAGUGACAGAUUAUUACCCAGUUAGAAGAAGUUCCAGGAAGAGCAAAUCUGAAUUGGAGACUGAGGAAAGGAGGAAAAUAGAUGAGCUGAUUACAAGUGGGAAAGAAGAAGGAAUGAAGAUUGAUUACAUCGAUGGCAAAGGGAGAGGAGUAAUUGCUACUAAACAUUUUAAUCGAGGAGAAUUUGUGGUUGAAUAUCACGGGGAUCUCAUCGAGAUCACUGAUGCCAAGAAACGAGAGGCUGUGUAUGCUCAAGACCCAUCCACAGGCUGCUACAUGUACUAUUUCCAGUACCUCAGCAAAACCUACUGUGUCGAUGCUACGAAAGAAACGAAUCGUCUGGGAAGGCUCAUUAAUCACAGCAAGUGUGGCAAUUGUCAGACCAAGCUCCACGACAUCGAUGGUGUGCCUCAUCUCAUCCUCAUAGCUUCCAGGGACAUUAAGGCAGGAAGGCUUUAUCUCCUAACAAGGUGUCAGGGAAAGAUACCCUUGGGUUGGGAGCUAAACCGCUUUUUUUAAAGGAGAUUGGAAAAUGCAUCCCUGGAUAAACCAUGGAAGAGGAUGGAAUUCAGGUCACAUCAGGAGUGAUGCUGCUGCUUCCAAUCAUUGUCUUUCCCAACGCCUCUGAGGCUCAUCAGUGCCAUUCUCACCAGCAGCAGUUAAGUCCUUGAGGAUGCUCAUUUUCCAUGUUUAAAAGAAAACCUAAAAUAAAAGGGAAAAAAUCAAUAGCAGAAAGGAAACAAUAAUGUACAACUGGGAAACAAGGAACAGGCAGGGGGCUGGCCCUGUCAGUGUGCUAUUUUGGGAGACUUUAGGGACAGACCCUGAGCUGUGGGUUUUGUGUACAAUGUAAACAAAGCCUGGGGCCAGCCAGGGUGCUCCCACAGCACAGCCCUGAGGGGCUGGCAGGGGAGGCAAGUAUUGAAUCAUUUUGCUCAGGAAUGCUUGUUUUUCCUAGGAAAAAAGUGACUCCCUGCUUGCCUGGGUGGAGGUUGCUUUCCUGUGCAGUGCUUUUUCCCCAGGAAGAGAUUGCUUUAUCAGGUUUUUAACUUUACAUGGAGACCAGAAAACAAUAUCCAGCCAACUGGGCUAAAGUUCAGCAUCCAUCCCUGGCUUCUCUGCACGCAGUGGGUCAUAUUCUUACAAAUUCUGCCCCAAAAUCUGCAGACAAACUUACAGACGUUUGAUGAUUGUCUUCUCUUCACUGUCCUUGCUAGUGCCAGCACUUCUGCCACUGACUUCUUUUUCCAGUUCUUCAGUUUGGUCCUUUUUCUGUGAGAUGAUCCCACUGGCAAAGGAAAUGGUUUUGUUUAUUUUUUUUGUGGGUUUGUGCAGAAUGUGACAGUUAGACCACUCACAGGGCAGCUGGGACAUGGGUGAAUGAAUGUUCACAGGACAGGGAUGGCAGCCCAGCCUCUCUUCCUUGUGAACUGAAAAUAAUGAAUUAUUAUCCCUAAAUACAGCAGUGUAAUGGUGCCAGGGUUAUGCUUUAAUGAGACCACUAAAAAAGUAACAAACUGACUUCUCCACAGAGAAAAAAUGGCAAAUCAUAAUGAGGGUGAAAGGGAAGUGUAAUCACACUUGGAUUUGUGCAAAAAUCCAAGGAUAAAAGGAGGGUGUGGACACAAAUGGUGAACUUCUGCAGGGGUGGAUGUGUGGUACCUCCAGCGCAGCCACCCAGGCUCACACCAGGCCUGGGAACAGAUGGGAGAUUCCCAACUCCCCUGCAAGGCAGGUGCCUGUUCCUCUUUCCACCCUACAGAGGAGAGAAGAAAGGCUUUGCCUCAGCUGUAGAUUUUGCCAUCCUACUUCAGUGUUUCUACACUCCAGAAGUUAUAACCGCCUACUCCAGGCAGCAGUUUCAGUUUGACCAAAGGGUGUUUUCCCUGCCUGGAAAGGGGUUAGAUUUUCCCAGCCUGCACACUCAGUGUUUUCACAGCGUGUCCUGAGCUGACCUCAGUCCUUCGGAGAGCUCAGUGGAUCAAAGCCUGUGACUGCAGUAGCUGCAGGCAAAGAGUAGCCAAGCAACACUCAACUGGAUUCAGAAAUAAAAACACAGAGCACUUAAAAACUGGUGUGACACCAUCACGGGGUAAUUCUGAGGCAGACUCUCCUCUUGGACAAAUGACACAAAGAGCUGUUGGGUGACACUGCAGAGUUUCAACACCCACAUGGUAAUUUCUACCCAGAAACCAUGAUGAAAAAUGCAGCCCCCAAACACCACCAGUCACUUGGAGCCAGUCUCUGAGAUGUUUGUUACCUUGUGUUAUACAGUGCUUAUUUCCAAUGUGUACAAGGCAUUUUAGAACAUAUAUUUAUCUUCUUCUGCAUAAUUACUCUUUACUACAAUUACAAUUAGGAUUUUAUGUGACUGUUUAGAGGGAAAAUGGGUUUUGGCUUAUGCUGUAACACUGUAUGAGGAGAUAACCUCACAAAUUACUGGACCUGGAAAGCAGCCCUGCCCUGCUCUUGUUGCAUAGCACUGUGACUCAAAUCAUUAAAAAUCUGAAACUAUUCCUACUGUUACAUUUUUAACUUGGCCUGUACUAAACUGUGUAACAGCUGGAAAUAAAGCAAGAGGCCAUUCCA